rnacentral:rRNA from 1 species
UACGUAGGGUGCGAGCGUUGUCCGGAAUUAUUGGGCGUAAAGAGCUCGUAGGCGGUCCGUCACGUCGGGAGUGAAAACUCAGGGCUCAACCCUGAGCGUGCUUCCGAUACGGGCGGACUAGAGGUAUGCAGGGGAGAACGGAAUUCCUGGUGUAGCGGUGGAAUGCGCAGAUAUCAGGAGGAACACCGGUGGCGAAGGCGGCUACCUGGACCGGUUCUGACGCUGAUGACGCGAAG